rnacentral:rRNA from 1 species
CCUACGGGUGGCAGCAGUGAGGAAUAUUGGUCAAUGGGCGCGAGCCUGAACCAGCCAAGUCGCGUGAGGGAAGACGGCCCUACGGGUUGUAAACCUCUUUUGCCGGGGAGCAACGGGCGCCACGUGUGGCGCCACUGAGAGUACCCGGAGAAAAAGCAUCGGCUAACUCCGUGCCAGCAGCCGCGGUACUACGGAGGAUGCGAGCGUUAUCCGGAUUUAUUGGGUUAAAGGGGUGCGUAGGCGGAGCGUAAAGUCAGUGGGAAAAUUGGGGGGCCAAACCUCCUACCGCCAUUGAAACUGGCGCUCUUGAGUGGAAGUGAGGUAUGCGGAAUGCGUGGUGUAGCGGUGAAAUGCAUAGAUAUCACGCAGAACCCCGAUUGCGAAGGCAGCAUGCCGGCUUCCUACUGACGCUGAAGCACGAAAGCGUGGGGAUCGAACAGGAUUAGAUACCCGUGUAGUC